GGCCCCUUGGCGAAAUUGGUAUACGCAGCAGACUUAAAAUCUGCUUCUCGUGAGGGAAUGCGGGUUCGAGUCCCGCAGGGGCCACCA
rnacentral:tRNA from 1 species